GGCCCAAGUUUGAAGUAGGGUAGAUUGAAGGAUCAUUAGACCCUACUAAACUACUCUACUUCGAGUUUGUGCCC
rnacentral:pre_miRNA from 1 species